UAGGUGAACUGCGGAAGGAUCAUUACCGAGUGUAGGGUUCCUAGCGAGCCCAACCUCCCACCCGUGUUUACUGUACCUUAGUUGCUUCGGCGGGCCCGCCAUUCAUGGCCGCCGGGGGCUCUCAGCCCCGGGCCCGCGCCCGCCGGAGACACCACGAACUCUGUCUGAUCUAGUGAAGUCUGAGUUGAUUGUAUCGCAAUCAGUUAAAACUUUCAACAAUGGAUCUCUUGGUUCCGGCAUCGAUGAAGAACGCAGCGAAAUGCGAUAACUAGUGUGAAUUGCAGAAUUCCGUGAAUCAUCGAGUCUUUGAACGCACAUUGCGCCCCCUGGUAUUCCGGGGGGCAUGCCUGUCCGAGCGUCAUUGCUGCCCAUCAAGCACGGCUUGUGUGUUGGGUCGUCGUCCCCUCUCCGGGGGGGACGGGCCCCAAAGGCAGCGGCGGCACCGCGUCCGAUCCUCGAGCGUAUGGGGCUUUGUCACCCGCUCUGUAGGCCCGGCCGGCGCUUGCCGAACGCAAAUCAAUCUUUUUCCAGGUUGACCUCGGAUCAGUAGGAUACCCGCUGA
rnacentral:rRNA from 1 species